CAGUAGCCACGGUAAUACGUAGGUGGCAAGCGUUGUCCGGAAUUAUUGGGCGUAAAGGGCUCGCAGGCGGUUUCUUAAGUCUGAUGUGAAAGCCCCCGGCUCAACCGGGGAGGGUCAUUGGAAACUGGAAAACUUGAGUGCAGAAGAGGAGAGUGGAAUUCCACGUGUAGCGGUGAAAUGCGUAGAGGUGUGGAGGAACACCAGUGGCGAAGGCGACUCUCUGGUCUGUAACUGACGCUGAGGAGCGAAAGCGUGGGGAGCGAACAGGAUUAGAUACCCCCGUAGUCCCUGUCUCUUAUAC
rnacentral:rRNA from 1 species